CAACACGUUUGUGAAAAGCCUGUGAGGUUCAACAAGCGCUGAUUUGAAAUGCGACACUGAAGAGUUUUGGAAGGCGACUGCAAACACCCUGAAAAGGGGACGAGCUCGUUCAGCUGCAUGAGGCAUCAGUCCAGAUUUGGAUAAUUACUUUGCACCCUGCCAGAACCUUCUGCCACCCCCCUGCGAAACCUUCAGAUCCACCACUGAUGAGCGUUGCACCAGUUUUGCAGAAAAAACAUCGAUCGGACCCGUUUGUUCAGCUCAUAUUCAUCACACGUUUUUUUCUCCUGUUUGGUCUCAGAUGAAAACAAUCAUUUCGGCCUCAGAAAAUCUUCUGCUUCGCUGUCAAGGAAACCAGCCAAGCAAGCAUGGAUCACAUCAAAGGUGUUGAUCCUUUCAGCUUUUGGACUAUAAAAAGCAUUACUGUCAGAGGCCACGCUGUAUUUUUUCUUUAAUGCUAUGCUUCAGAUCCAUGGGGUGUGCUCGCGGUAUCGAGCUGCAUCAUCAGGAGUUUCACGCGAUCACAAAGCAGCAGCAGGGUGUCUUUUCUUUGCGUCGUCUGAGCGCUGAGGUUCAGAAACACACAGUGAUCCAAAGCAGCAGUCAGGAAGAUUGAAGAAGUGUGAUGAGAUGUGUUCAUCAUUCAUCAACCUUCUGCACGGCUUUUUGCUCUUUGCCACUAACUGGAUCCUCGAGCAACUUGACAGUUAGUGAGGAUAAUGAGAUUGUAAACAAACAUCGGGCGCCACUCUCUCAUCACCAUCAGCAGAAUGUCUUAACAAGAUGGCGAGGAGAGGAAAACAGCAGCUGGAGAGAUGAGAGGAGGAGGGAGUUCGUCCCAAGAGAGCAAGAAAACAUCGAUGCAGAAUUAUGUUUACAUAAGACCCCUUAAUUAAUGAACGCAGCAGAUCAUUCACCAGCUCUCUCAGGUCAGGAGCCAGACGCAGAAUAUUGAUUUGAAGUUAACAUGUUUACCUAGCAAAACCUACAGCAGGCCCGCAGUAAAUCUAGACCGCGCAGACUCAUAUUUAAUGUCAACAAAAAGAAAUUGAAAUGGCAGAGGACAUGUUGGUUUUAAUGACACUGUGGCAAAUCAGGUAACGUAAGCGCUCACACCAAACCCACACAUGAAAACACGGACAGCUUAGUCACAUUCUCCUCCUACUGGCUGAAACAACAACAGGUGAGCCGUAAGAACAGUGAAAAUGUGGGCAAAAUGUCAAGCAUGAAAAUGAAGCAUGAAAAAUACCACAAAAACACUGUAAAAGCGGAGACUUCGCAGCCUCGGAGGCUUCCAACUACCCUCCCGGGAUGCUACGACAGCGUCACAGCUUGAGUCGACUUAAAAAGAAAUUGGCAUUUUGGAUAGUUCACAGUGGAGAUACAGACGGGAGACCAGGCAACAAAAUGUCAUCUUAAAACACUGCCUUAAUAAACAAUUUUAGAUUUACAGUGUUUUGCUUGAUUACAGACAUGAGUGCAUGAGUCCAGACAAACGUAACCUGUUGCAUUAUUUUUUAUAAAACCAAACAAACUUUUAUUCACUUUAACACUAACACAACAUGACAAGAAGUCCUUGAGUUGCUCAGAGGAACGGAGAUGUAAUAAGAACAAAGGCUCUGCAACGCAUCAGAAAAAACAUCAAAUUAUGAUGACAUGACAAGAAAUCUCUGUCUGUCAGUCACAUAUGUCAAUCUACUUCACAUGGCAGUUUUGUUGCGGCGGCUGGAGGACUUUGUGCAUUUGGACUGGAGAUAAACAGUGAGCACCACUCAUGCAGAGCGCGGCUGCACACCUGCUCCCUCUUGCAGGAUUUCAUGGGGAAGCAGAUGUAAACAAAAUGGAGAUUAGCUCAGUGCAACAACCUGCGGUAGUAACCUGUUGCAUUGAGCAAAAAAAAAGAACAAAAGCAGAAGGUUAAGAGAGUCUUGACAAGUGAA